rnacentral:rRNA from 1 species
AUUCCCAGUGUAGCGGUGAAAUGCGUAGAUAUUGGGAAGAACACCGGUGGCGAAAGCGCUCUGCUGGGCCGAACCUGACGCUGAGGGACGAAAGCUAGGGGAGCGAAUGGGAUUAGAUACCCCAGUAGUCCUAGCCGUAAACGAUGGAGACUAGGUGUUGCCUGUAUCGACCCGGGCAGUGCCGAAGCCAACGCGUUAAGUCUCCCGCCUGGGGAGUACGCACGCAAGUGUGAAACUCAAAGGAAUUGACGGGGGCCCGCACAAGCGGUGGAGUAUGUGGUUUAAUUCGAUGCAACGCGAAGAACCUUACCAGGGCUUGACAUCCCGCGAAUCUCGGCGAAAGUUGAGAGUGCCUACGGGAAGCGCGGAG